GGCACUAUGGCCGAGUGGUUAAGGCGACAGAUUCGAAUGAGUGGAUGCUCUGUCACAAUCUGUUUCCCUAUGGGAGCGUGAGUUCAAAUCUCACUGGUGUCG